AUGAACGCUGGCGGCGUGCCUAAUACAUGCAAGUCGAGCGAACAGACGAGGAGCUUGCUCCUCUGACGUUAGCGGCGGACGGGUGAGUAACACGUGGAUAACCUACCUAUAAGACUGGGAUAACUUCGGGAAACCGGAGCUAAUACCGGAUAAUAUAUUGAACCGCAUGGUUCAAUAGUGAAAGACGGUUUUGCUGUCACUUAUAGCUGGAUCCGCGCCGCAUUAGCUAGUUGGUAAGGUAACGGCUUACCAAGGCAACGAUGCGUAGCCGACCUGAGAGGGUGAUCGGCCACACUGGAACUGAGACACGGUCCAGACUCCUACGGGAGGCAGCAGUAGGGAAUCUUCCGCAAUGGGCGAAAGCUUGACGGAGCAACGCCGCGUGAGUGAUGAAGGUCUUCGGAUCGUAAAACUCUGUUAUUAGGGAAGAACAAAUGUGUAAGUAACUAUGCACGUCUUGACGGUACCUAAUCAGAAAGCCACGGCUAACUACGUG
rnacentral:rRNA from 1 species